AACGAACGCUGGCGGCAGGCCUAACACAUGCAAGUCGAGCGCGCCCUUCGGGGUGAGCGGCGGACGGGUGAGUAACGCGUGGGAACGUGCCCUUUGCUACGGAAUAGCCCCGGAAAACUGGGAGUAAUACCGUAUGUGCCCUUCGGGGGAAAGAUUUAUCGGCAAAGGAUCGGCCCGCGUUGGAUUAGGUAGUUGGUGGGGUAAUGGCCUACCAAGCCGACGAUCCAUAGCUGGUUUGAGAGGAUGAUCAGCCACACUGGGACUGAGACACGGCCCAGACUCCUACGGGAGGCAGCAGUGGGGAAUCUUAGACAAUGGGCGCAAGCCUGAUCUAGCCAUGCCGCGUGAUCGAUGAAGGCCUUAGGGUUGUAAAGAUCUUUCGUGGGGGAAGAUAAUGACUGUACCCCAAGAAGAAGCCCCGGCUAACUCCGUGCCAGCCGCCGCAGUAAAAC
rnacentral:rRNA from 1 species